rnacentral:rRNA from 1 species
CGGUGUGUCAGAGCUGCUCUGGCGGAUCAGUGGCGAACGGGUGAGUAACACGUGAGUAACCUGCCCCCGACUCUGGGAUAACUGCUAGAAAUGGUAGCUAAUACCGGAUAUGACGAUUGGCCGCAUGGUCUGGUCGUGGAAAGAAUUUCGGUUGGGGAUGGACGCGCGGCCUAUCAGGUUGUUGGUGAGGUAAUGGCUCACCAAGCCUACGACGGGUAGCCGGCCUGAGAGGGUGACCGGCCACACUGGGACUGAGACACGGCCCAGACUCCUACGGGAGGCAGCAGUGGGGAAUAUUGCACAAUGGGCGAAAGCCUGAUGCAGCAACGCCGCGUGAGGGAUGACGGCCUUCGGGUUGUAAACCUCUUUUAGUAGGGAAGAAGCGAAAGUGACGGUACCUGCAGAAAAAGCACCGGCUAACUACGUGCCAGCAGCCGCGGUAAUACGUAGGGUGCAAGCGUUGUCCGGAAUUAUUGGGCGUAAAGAGCUCGUAGGCGGUUUGUCGCGUCUGCUGUGAAAUCCCGAGGCUCAACCUCGGGUCUGCAGUGGGUACGGGCAGACUAGAGUGCGGUAGGGGAGAUUGGAAUUCCUGGUGUAGCGGUGGAAUGCGCAGAUAUCAGGAGGAACACCGAUGGCGAAGGCAGAUCUCUGGGCCGUAACUGACGCUGAGGAGCGAAAGCAUGGGGAGCGAACAGGAUUAGAUACCCUGGUAGUCCAUGCCGUAAACGUUGGGAACUAGAUGUGGGGACCAUUCCACGGUCUCCGUGUCGCAGCUAACGCAUUAAGUUCCCCGCCUGGGGAGUACGGCCGCAAGGCUAAAACUCAAAGGAAUUGACGGGGGCCCGCACAAGCGGCGGAGCAUGCGGAUUAAUUCGAUGCAACGCGAAGAACCUUACCAAGGCUUGACAUAUACCGGAAACAUGCAGAAAUGUGUGCCCCGCAAGGUCGGUAUACAGGUGGUGCAUGGUUGUCGUCAGCUCGUGUCGUGAGAUGUUGGGUUAAGUCCCGCAACGAGCGCAACCCUCGUUCUAUGUUGCCAGCACGUAAUGGUGGGAACUCAUAGGAGACUGCCGGGGUCAACUCGGAGGAAGGUGGGGAUGACGUCAAAUCAUCAUGCCCCUUAUGUCUUGGGCUUCACGCAUGCUACAAUGGCCGGUACAAAGGGCUGCGAUACCGUAAGGUGGAGCGAAUCCCAAAAAGCCGGUCUCAGUUCGGAUUGAGGUCUGCAACUCGACUCAUGAAGUCGGAGUCGCUAGUAAUCGCAGAUCAGCAACGCUGCGGUGAAUACGUUCCCGGGCUUGUACACACCGCCCGUCAAGUCAUGAAAGUCGGUAACACCCGAGCCAGUGGCCUACCGCA